UCCCUAGUGGUCCAGUGGCUAGGAUUCUGCACUCCCAAUGCAGGGGGCCCAGGGUUCAAUCCCUGGUCAGGGAA